rnacentral:rRNA from 1 species
GGGAGGAAGGUAGUGUAGUUAACAUCUGCAUUAUUUGACGUUACCUACAGAAGAAGCACCGGCUAACUCCGUGCCAGCAGCCGCGGUAAUACGGAGGGUGCGAGCGUUAAUCGGAAUUACUGGGCGUAAAGCGCAUGCAGGCGGCCUGUUAAGUCAGAUGUGAAAGACCCGGGGCGUUAACCUCGGAAUUGCAUUUGUAAACUAGGCAGGCUAGAGUCUUGUAGAGGGGGGUAGGAAGUUUCAGGUGUAGCGGUGAAAUAGCGUAGAGAUCUGAAGGAAUACCAGUGGCGAAGGCGGCCCCCUCGGACAAAGACUGACGCUCAGAUGCGAAAGCGUGGGGAGCAAACAGGAUUAGAUACCCUGGUAG